rnacentral:misc_RNA from 1 species
UACGUAGGGCGCAAGCGUUAUCCGGAAUUAUUGGGCGUAAAGAGCUCGUAGGCGGUUUGUCGCGUCUGCCGUGAAAGUCCGGGGCUCAACCCCGGAUCUGCGGUGGGUACGGGCAGACUUGAGUGCAGUAGGGGAGACUGGAAUUCCUGGUGUAGCGGUGAAAUGCGCAGAUAUCAGGAGGAACACCGAUGGCGAAGGCAGGUCUCUGGGCUGUAACUGACGCUGAGGAGCGAAAGCGUGGGUAGCAAACAGG